CCAGCCUACCCAUCCCGCUGCACAUGCUACAGUGAAAAGAACGUUCACGUCAGCCUCCCACCGCAUGCUGGUGAGUUCAGUCUAAUUCUCUCCCACACUUAGUCUCUAAGCAAGGUGGUUAGGAUGAUAAAGCUUGCUUAAAAAAUUCUGGCAAUUUUCUCCGAUAGAAGGGAAGAACGUUUUGUGGUGGUUAACACCCCACAAGAAUGCUAACGUGGACGACUAACCCUCUAUUUCUUACCCUCCUGCUGUUGUCCUGUUAUUUCUUUCCUUCGGGUAUUUUUUGUUGUUUCUCGGUGCAGCUACUUUGCAGGAUGAACAUCCUCCAGAAGGCCGUCAGCAUAUUCAGGGAGCUCUUACUGCAGGCGUGAUUUCUUAAUUUCUUCUCCUUUGGGAUCUGCUUGCAGAGGGGAGAGUUACCUUCGGCCCAUGGGAAAGGAUUUGGAAAAUUUGGGCGCCCGAAAAAUGCUGUUUCUUCAUGUGGUUGGUUAUGAGAGAUAGAUGCUGGACUGCUGAUCGCCUUGCCAAACGUGGACUCCCACACCCGACAAGAUGCUCCCUUUGUGAUCAGGUUGAGGAAAACAUCAAUCACUUGCUGUCCUGCGUCUUUGCCCGCGAGUUUUGGUUCAAGCUCUGCUAAUGGCUGGUCUGCAGAACUUCAGCCCGCAAGUUAGGUGAAGACAACUUCAAUCUCUGGUGGGAAAGAGUCUCCUGUUCGGCAACAGCCCAGAUGCGGAAAGGCCUUAAUUCUCUCGUAAUUCUGGAGGCAUGGUCCCUUUGGAAACAUAGAAAUAGGAGUAAAUUUUCUGUAUGCCAUUGAAAAAUAUAACCCAUCCCUUCUAUGCCAUUGAAAAUUACCUCA